ACAAUCACGCUGGCGGCGUGCCUAACACAUGCAAGUCGAACGCGAAAGUGGCUUCGGUCAUGAGUAGAGUGGCAAACGGGUGAGUAACACGUGGGUGACCUGCCUUCGAGUGGGGGACAACGUCCCGAAAGGGACGCUAAUACCGCAUGACAUCCCGCCUUUGGAUAGGUGGUGAUUAAAGCUGGGACCGCAAGGCCUGGCGCUUGAAGAGGGGCCCGCGCCCGAUUAGCUAGUUGGUGGGGUAACGGCUCACCAAGGCUUCGAUCGGUAGCCGGCCUGAGAGGGCGGACGGCCACACUGGGACUGAGACACGGCCCAGACUCCUACGGGAGGCAGCAGUGGGGAAUUGUUCGCAAUGGGCGAAAGCCUGACGACGCAACGCCGCGUGGAGGACGAAGAUCUUCGGGUUGUAAACUCCUGUCGAGCGGGAAGAACAGUGCGCGGGUUAAUACCCCGUGCGCCUGACGGUACCGCUAAAGGAAGCCCCGGCUAACUCCGUGCCAGCAGCCGCGGUAAUACGGGGGGGCAAGCGUUGUUCGGAUUUACUGGGCGUAAAGGGCUCGUAGGCGGCUAGCCAAGUCGGACGUGAAAUCCCCAGGCUUAACCUGGGAACUGCGUCCGAUACUGGUUGGCUUGAAGCCGGGAGAGGGAUGCGGAAUUCCAGGUGUAGCGGUGAAAUGCGUAGAUAUCUGGAGGAACACCGGUGGCGAAGGCGGCAUCCUGGACCGGUCUUGACGCUGAGGAGCGAAAGCUAGGGGAGCAAACGGGAUUAGAUACCCCGGUAGUCCUAGCCCUAAACGAUGAAUGCUUGGUGUGGCGGGUAUCGAUCCCUGCCGUGCCGGAGCUAACGCAUUAAGCAUUCCGCCUGGGGAGUACGGUCGCAGUUAAAACUCAAAGGAAUUGACGGGGACCCGCACAAGCGGUGGAUGAUGUGGAUUAAUUCGAUGCAACGCGAAAAACCUUACCUACCCUUGACAUGCCAGGAACUUGCCAGAGAUGGCUUGGUGCCCGAAAGGGAGCCUGGACACAGGUGCUGCAUGGCUGUCGUCAGCUCGUGUCGUGAGAUGUUGGGUUAAGUCCCGCAACGAGCGCAACCCUUGCCAUUAGUUGCUACAUUCAGUUGGGCACUCUAAUGGGACCGCCGGUGACAAACCGGAGGAAGGUGGGGAUGACGUCAAGUCCUCAUGGCCCUUAUGGGUAGGGCUUCACACGUAAUACAAUGGCCGGUACAAAGGGCUGCCAACCCGCGAGGGGGAGCAAAUCCCAGAAAGCGCGUCGUAGUCCGGAUUGUUCUCUGCAACUCGAGAGCAUGAAGUCGGAAUCGCUAGUAA
rnacentral:rRNA from 1 species